rnacentral:rRNA from 1 species
AACGAACGCUGGCGGCAUGCCUAACACAUGCAAGUCGAACGAGACCUUCGGGUCUAGUGGCGCACGGGUGCGUAACGCGGGGGAACCUGCCCUUAGGUUCGGAAUAACUCCCCGAAAGGGGUGCUCAUACCGGAUAAUGUCUUCGGACCAAAGAUUUAUCGCCUUUGGAUGGGCCCGCGUUGGAUUAGCUAGUUGGUAGGGUAAAAGCCUACCAAGGCGACGAUCCAUAGCUGGUCUGAGAGGAUGAUCAGCCACACUGGGACUGAGACCCGGCCCAGACUCCUACGGGAGGCAGCAGUGGGGAAUAUUGGACAAUGGGCGAAAGCCUGAUCCAGCAAUGCCGCGUGAGUGAUGAAGGCCUUAGGGUUGUAAAGCUCUUUUACCCGGGAUGAUAAUGACAGUACCGGGAGAAUAAGCUCCGGCUAACUCCGUG